rnacentral:lncRNA from 1 species
GGUACAGUGUUACUAUCAAUGUUUACUUCUACCUUUGAAAAUUAGAAAAAAAACACAUGUAGUGUUCUGAGUACAUAUUUUUCUAAUUAAUUUAUGAAUAAGAAAAAAACCAAAGAUGUCCCUUGAUCUGUUUUCAAUAAUUUACAAACGCAAAUAAGAAAUCUGUUUUUUAUUAAAUGGCAUAUAAAAUUAAAACAUAUGGCUUUAAAUGCACAAUGUUCUUCUUUGUAUGUUUUUUUUUUUUUUAUAAAUCAAAUAUUUUUAUUUUAAGAAAGAAGGAUAACAGAGCAAUGAUCAUCUCUCAUUGACUUACAAGUUCAAAGACUGAAGCAACUUUUGUUCAUUGAACAUUAAAAUGGAUUGGUUACAAUGCGAAGCUAUAAUGUUCAUUGUGAUUAUACAAAAUUUGUCCGACAGAACAGAAUGCUGAUACUUAAUGGCCUUUCUAACAAGCACACAGUUCUAGUCUGUCACAGGUUGAUGUCCGUUCCAGCAGGAGUCUACAAAAUGCUGGAUGUGUAAUAAGAUGUGAGGAGGAGAGCGUUCAUGGAGAAGAAACCUAGAGUUCCAAUGAAUAUCGGCACACCACUUAACAUACUUAUGCCUGCCUUUUUUCUUUAUUAUAUUUGAAAUGAAAUAUAGCAGAAAAAAAUUAUUAUACAUAUGUAAUUAGUGGAGAAGUUUUCUUCAAUGCUAUCAAAGCUCUUUAACCAAUGGACGGAGCACCCAAAGAAAUACUGAUGUCCUCCAGUACGUGAAAUCUUGCUUAAUGGUCUACUAUCAUACAUACACAUACAUUUAUAAUCACGGUCAAUAAAAGUUUAAAAGUAAUAAUAUGCCUUGUGCAUUAUUAUGCAACAAAUACCUGAACGGUUAUACCUAGGGUUACUAGAUCCACAAUAUUUUCAGGGACAUAUAUCACAUAUAAAUAUUGUUGGGCAACACAUGAAAAGGGUUGCCAUGUAGAAUUCAGAAUUAGUAUAUAAGAUUAGGUAGCUAGGCAAUUAAUAAUUUUGCAGAAUAUGCAUUACAUAUACUGCACGCAUUUUCCUAAAUAUGGCGAAAUUAUACGUGCCUGAAAACAUGGUGAAUCUGGUAACCCUAGUUCUACCUCCUUUUAGUGUAUCUCCUGGCUUAGCCUUAUUCCGUGGGGGCAGCAAUCUUUAGCUCACUUUGGUUAAAUUAGGGGUAGUAAACCUGGUCCAUACAGCCCACCAGUGGGCAGUUUGGGAUUUCAGGUAGGCGGUGGUGGGUUCUGCAGAAAACACACAGAAGGCUGGCAGGGGAUAUCGUUUCAUCUCCUCUGCUGGCCAUGGAGAGCCAGCCUUGCUGUAAGCCCUCUCAGGCUGGUGAGAUCUCCCUCACCGGCCAGCUGGCACUUCGUUUCAGCAGAGGGAUAGAAGGGCCUGGGAUGCUCUGUGUUCCUCCCAUGAGCAGGCUGGUUGGAACAUUGCCAUGUGUUACCAUGGAAAUGCACCAAUACAGUACUGUGCUUGCAGGAGUACAGGAAAGUAAGACUACAGCCGGAGGAGGUGCAGGCUCAAGUGAACAUGCCACAACAGGACCACCAGAGCUUGCAGCAUAAUGUCCCUCCUCCCUGGUAAAAGGUAAGGAGGGAGGGGGAGACAUUAAGAUAGAUUUUCACAUCACACUCACCUACAUACAGCAUAGACCCUAUGCACCACACACAGUCUUCCUGCCCCACACUGCACAUCUCUCUCACACACACACACACACACACACACACACACACACACACUGCAUCCUUCCCACUCACAGCACCCUUCCCACAUACACAUCACCUCUAACACACACGCUGACAACCUCACACACAGCACCCUUCACACACACACUGCCCCCUCACAUGUCCACACACAAACCCACACACAGCACCCCCCACCCACACACACACACAGCACCCCUCUACACACACUCACAACACUCUUCAUACACAACAGCACCUCAGACAAUUUGAGUACAUAUUUAAAAAAAAAAAAAACCUUUCAAAAAUAAAAUUUAAAUCACACUUGCACUAUAAAAUUAAAGGACCACUCUAGGCACCCAGACCACUUCAGCUUAAUGAGGUGGUCUGGGUGCCAGGUCCAGCUAGGGUUAACCCAUUUUUUCAUAAACAUAGCAGUUUCAGAGAAACUGCUAUGUUUAUGAAUGGGUUAAGCCUUCCCCUAUUUCCUCUAGCGGCUGUCUCAUUGACAGCCGCUAGAGGCACUUGCGUGAUUCUCACUGUGA